rnacentral:rRNA from 1 species
UACGUAGGGGGCAAGCGUUGUCCGGAAUUAUUGGGCGUAAAGAGCGUGUAGGCGGCCAGAUAAGUCCGCUGUGAAAUCUCGAGGCUCAACUUCGAGCUGUCGGUGGAAACUAUCUGGCUAGAGUCCGGAAGAGGAGAGUGGAAUUCCUGGUGUAGCGGUGAAAUGCGCAGAUAUCAGGAGGAACACCCGUGGCGAAGGCGGCUCUCUGGGACGGUACUGACGCUGAGACGCGAAAGCGUGGGGAGCGAACAGG